UACGAAGGGGGCUAGCGUUGCUCGGAAUCACUGGGCGUAAAGCGCACGUAGGCGGAUCUUUAAGUCAGGGGUGAAAUCCUGGAGCUCAACUCCAGAACUGCCUUUGAUACUGGGGAUCUCGAGUCCGGGAGAGGUGAGUGGAACUCCGAGUGUAGAGGUGAAAUUCGUAGAUAUUCGGAGGAACACCAGAAGCGAAGGCGGCCAACUGGCCCGAUACUGACGCUGAGGCGCGAAAGCGUGGGGAGCAAACAGG
rnacentral:rRNA from 1 species